rnacentral:rRNA from 1 species
GACGAACGCUGGCGGCGUGCUUAACGCAUGCAAGUCGAACGGAAAGGCCCUGCUUUUGUGGGGUGCUCGAGUGGCGAACGGGUGAGUAACACGUGAGUAACCUGCCCUUGACUUUGGGAUAACUUCAGGAAACUGGGGCUAAUACCGGAUAGGAGCUCCUGCUGCAUGGUGGGGGUUGGAAAGUUUCGGCGGUUGGGGAUGGACUCGCGGCUUAUCAGCUUGUUGGUGGGGUAGUGGCUUACCAAGGCUUUGACGGGUAGCCGGCCUGAGAGGGUGACCGGCCACAUUGGGACUGAGAUACGGCCCAGACUCCUACGGGAGGCAGCAGUGGGGAAUAUUGCACAAUGGGCGGAAGCCUGAUGCAGCAACGCCGCGUGCGGGAUGACGGCCUUCGGGUUGUAAACCGCUUUCGCCUGUGACGAAGCGUGAGUGACGGUAAUGGGUAAAGAAGCACCGGCUAACUACGUGCCAGCAGCCGCGGUGAUACGUAGGGUGCGAGCGUUGUCCGGAUUUAUUGGGCGUAAAGGGCUCGUAGGUGGUUGAUCGCGUCGGAAGUGUAAUCUUGGGGCUUAACCCUGAGCGUGCCUUCGAUACGGGUUGACUUGAGGAAGGUAGGGGAGAAUGGAAUUCCUGGUGGAGCGGUGGAAUGCGCAGAUAUCAGGAGGAACACCAGUGGCGAAGGCGGUUCUCUGGGCCUUUCCUGACGCUGAGGAGCGAAAGCGUGGGGAGCGAACAGGCUUAGAUACCCUGGUAGUCCACGCUGUAAACGGUGGGUACUAGGUGUGGGGUCCAUUCCACGGGUUCCGUGCCGUAGCUAACGCUUUAAGUACCCCGCCUGGGGAGUACGGCCGCAAGGCUAAAACUCAAAGGAAUUGACGGGGCCCCGCACAAGCGGCGGAGCAUGCGGAUUAAUUCGAUGCAACGCGUAGAACCUUACCUGGGUUUGACAUGGAUCGGGAGUGCUCAGAGAUGGGUGUGCCUCUUUUGGGGUCGGUUCACAGGUGGUGCAUGGCUGUCGUCAGCUCGUGUCGUGAGAUGUUGGGUUAAGUCCCGCAACGAGCGCAACCCUUGUUCACUGUUGCCAGCACGUUAUGGUGGGGACUCAGUGGAGACCGCCGGGGUCAACUCGGAGGAAGGUGGGGAUGACGUCAAGUCAUCAUGCCCCUUAUGUCCAGGGCUUCACGCAUGCUACAAUGGCUGGUACAGAGAGUGGCGAGCCUGUGAGGGUGAGCGAAUCUCGGAAAGCCGGUCUCAGUUCGGAUUGGGGUCUGCAACUCGACCUCAUGAAGUCGGAGUCGCUAGUAAUCGCAGAUCAGCAACGCUGCGGUGAAUACGUUCCCGGG